UUGAUAUUCUAAUUAUAUGACCAGCACCUGUAUAAUGGAGCCAAACCUGAGAAGGGAGUCCAGAAGAUUCCACAGAGUUCCUGGACACAUAAUUUGUGUAGCUGUAAUUCAUAGGCAGGGAUUAUGCUAAUUGUAAAUUGGUGUGCACGAACACCCUAUUUACGAAUGAUUGGAAUUCUUUGACAUUCACAGGUUUAACUAUCAAAUUGGAUGUUUACGAAGCGUUUGUGAAUCCGGAGUUGAGUUUUUAGGAAGGUCUGUUUUACGCACAAAUUGCUCAGAAUUUAUUUAUAAAUUUAUGAAAGUUUCAUGAAUGAGUCCCAAUGAUCAUCUAUGAAGCACUUCUCUCAGGACCAUUUGCUCAGAUGAAGUCAUUUCCACAUGACAGUAAGCUGAUUACUUGAAUUAACGUUAUGUUGUUACCGGCGUCAUCAACGACACACUCAACAAAAACAGCCCAUCUGAAUCCAGCAGGAACUGAAAAUACUGAACAGCUUCAUAAGCUUCAGACAGUGUCCAGGUUUCAUAUUGCAUACUGCAUAUUGGGUUUGAACAGACCCGCAUCAAUCCAACAUCUGAUAAAAAAAAAAACAAAAAAAAAACAAUCAAUGGGAUAUUUCUUGCUUUUUUCACUCGUUUCUUUUGGGCUGCAUUAAUGUGAGUGUGUUGUUUUGGUCAUACAUCACCCAAACAGGUAGAGCUUCAUCUUCCACGGCCUGCUGAUGACAGACGACACCAUCGCUGUGCUUGUCUACUCCUCUAGAAGUCCACUGGAAAACAGAUCAUUAAGAUGCUGCUUUAAAAUGUUAAAACAGGAUGCCUGACUGAGAAUCAAAGCCUAAAGUGUGAACUACCUCAUGCUGUACAUGAAUAUGGCAAUUUUGAGAAAUGGGCCCAGGCACAAGAUGAAAUAGAAGACUUGGAGAAGACGUUGAAUGACAAAAAGCAGCACAAAGAAUUAACACCGGCAGAGCUAGAUAAGAUAGAAGACGACAAAGAUGAGGUCAAUACGAAAAAGACAAUUAAAUGGGCAGUUAACACUUUCAGUAACUUUUUGCGCCAAAGACAGAACAAUUGUGAUGUCGAGACCUACUCUGCUUCUCUUUUAAAUUGGACAUUGCGGGAGUUGUAUGCCUCUGUUCAGUCUACCGCUGGACGCGAAUACAGUGUUGCAAGUUUGAUGUGUCUCAGAGCAGGUAUUAACCGUCACUUUACAAAAUACAACAUCAUAAGUGAUAAAGACUUCAAGUCAAGCAAUGCCGUCUUUAAAUCAGUUUUAAAGCGCUACAGGAAAAAUGGAAAAGACACCAGCGUUCAUCAUCCGCGUAUUACUGAGUCUGACUUGGAGAAAAUUAGAAAUGCACCUGCAUUCUCCCCUUUCACACUCACAGGACUUGUAAGAAAAGUUUGGUUUGACAUACAGCUGUGUUUUGCACGGAGGGGAAGAGAAGGAAACCGUAACCUAUCAAAAGAGUCUUUCGUUCUCUGGCAAGACGAGAAUGGGAAAGAGUACCUGACCCUGGCGCAUAACCCAGAGACAAAAAACCACAAGGAUCCCACUGCGUCGGAUAGAGAAAAUUUAUGAGGAUUUAUGUUUGCGAGCCCCGGCGACCCACUUUGUCCCGUGGACAGCUUUAAAAAAUAUCUGUCAAAGUGUCCAGAAAAUGCCGGAGCAUUCUAUUUGCAUCCGAGACGCAUCCCUCUGUGGAAACUCGAGAGCAUCGAAGUGUGGUUCACCAGGGAGCCGAUGGGGCUCAACUACCUUGGCAAUAUGCUAAAAAAUAUUUGUGAAGAGGUUGAUAAUAGAUAUUUCGUUUUUGCCCAUGAAUUUAAACUGUGUUUAUAUUAUUUUCCAGAUUGUAUACUUUAAAUUCUUGUUGUUCAGGUGGAAGGUAUCUCACAAAUGUACACAAACCAUAGUUUGCGGAGCACUGUCGUUGGACGACUCUCUGAUGCAGGACUAGAAAGUCACCAGAUCAUGUCAGUGACAGCGACGAUGCGAGGCGAGUUGGCGGUCAUACUGGGCCCCAUAUUUGUCAGAGAGGAGGGCAUGGAGUGACAUACUGACAUCUAGAACCUCAACAAGCAAAGCGAAACAUAAUUUCACCUCCAAGCCUAAACCUGAAAUAACCCUACCCUUUUCCAUGUCUAAUUUCACGAUAAAUGGAAAUGUUGAGUUUAACAUCAAUUAGUAGGCUAUAAUGAUGCGUAAAACAAUCCCCAAACGAAAUUUCCAACUGUUUGAUUUUUUUUGUUUUCAUCUAAUUUAAUGCAUUUCAAUAAAUGUAAUGUGUCUUUAUAUUUAUAGUAAACUGUGGUUAGAGACGCCGGUUUUAUUUCACACUCUACAUUCAUUGAAAUAAAUGAUAUGAUUAGUUCACAUAAAGAUUGCCUUGUCACUGUCAGUGUUGUCUG